rnacentral:rRNA from 1 species
GACGAACGCUGGCGGCGUGCUUAACACAUGCAAGUCGAACGAUGUGGCGCACGGGUGUGUAAUACGUGUGUAAUCUUCCCUCCUUUUUGGGAUAAGCGUGGGAAACGGGGUCUAAUACCGAAGAAUGGGGGAUGGGCUCGGGGCCUAUCAGCUUGGUGGUGGGGUGAUGGCCUACCAAGGCGGUGACGGGGAGCCGGCCUGGGAGGGUGACCGGGCACAUGGGGAGUGACAUACGGCCCAGGCUACGACGGGGGGGAGCAGUGGGGGAUAUGGCAGAAUGUGCGAAAGACUGAUGCAGCGACGCCGCGUGGGGGAUGAAGGCUUUCGGGUUGUAAUCCUCGUUGGCUAUCGAACCGGUAGGUGGAGAAGAAGCGCCGGCUAACUACGUGCCAGCAGCCGCGGUAAUAC